rnacentral:rRNA from 2 species
CAUAGCGGCGAUCGUAUACAUGCAAGUCGAGCGAAUCUGAGGGAGCUUGCUCCCAAAGAUUAGCGGCGGACGGGUGAGUAACACGUGGGCAACCUGCCUGUAAGACUGGGAUAACUCCGGGAAACCGGGGCUAAUACCGGAUAAUAUCUAUUUAUACAUAUAAUUAGAUUGAAAGAUGGUUCUGCUAUCACUUACAGAUGGGCCCGCGGCGCAUUAGCUAGUUGGUGAGGUAACGGCUCACCAAGGCGACGAUGCGUAGCCGACCUGAGAGGGUGAUCGGCCACACUGGGACUGAGACACGGCCCAGACUCCUACGGGAGGCAGCAGUAGGGAAUCUUCCGCAAUGGACGAAAGUCUGACGGAGCAACGCCGCGUGAGUGAUGAAGGUUUUCGGAUCGUAAAACUCUGUUGUUAGGGAAGAACAAGUACCGGAGUAACUGCCGGUACCUUGACGGUACCUAACCAGAAAGCCACGGCUAACUACGUGCCAGCAGCCGCGGUAAUACGUAGGUGGCAAGCGUUGUCCGGAAUUAUUGGGCGUAAAGCGCGCGCAGGCGGUUCCUUAAGUCUGAUGUGAAAGCCCACGGCUCAACCGUGGAG